rnacentral:rRNA from 1 species
AUGAACGCUGGCGGCGUGCCUAAUACAUGCAAGUCGAGCGCACAGACGAGGAGCUUGCUCCUCUGACGUUAGCGGCGGACGGGUGAGUAACACGUGGAUAACCUACCUAUAAGACUGGGAUAACUUCGGGAAACCGGAGCUAAUACCGGAUAAUAUAUUGAACCGCAUGGUUCAAUAGUGAAAGACGGUUUUGCUGUCACUUAUAGAUGGAUCCGCGCCGCAUUAGCUAGUUGGUAAGGUAACGGCUUACCAAGGCAACGAUGCGUAGCCGACCUGAGAGGGUGAUCGGCCACACUGGAACUGAGACACGGUCCAGACUCCUACGGGAGGCAGCAGUAGGGAAUCUUCCGCAAUGGGCGAAAGCCUGACGGAGCAACGCCGCGUGAGUGAUGAAGGUCUUCGGAUCGUAAAACUCUGUUAUUAGGGAAGAACAAAUGUGUAAGUAACUAUGCACGUCUUGACGGUACCUAAUCAGAAAGCCACGGCUAACUACGU